rnacentral:rRNA from 1 species
AGUUUGAUCCUGGCUCAGGACGAACGCUGGCGGCGUGCUUAACACAUGCAAGUCGAACGGAAAGGCCCCUUCGGGGGUACUCGAGUGGCGAACGGGUGAGUAACACGUGGGUAAUCUGCCCUGCACUUCGGGAUAAGCCUGGGAAACUGGGUCUAAUACCGGAUAGGACCCCGAGGCGCAUGCCUUGGGGUGGAAAGCUUUUGCGGUGUGGGAUGGGCCCGCGGCCUAUCAGCUUGUUGGUGGGGUGACGGCCUACCAAGGCGACGACGGGUAGCCGGCCUGAGAGGGUGUCCGGCCACACUGGGACUGAGAUACGGCCCAGACUCCUACGGGAGGCAGCAGUGGGGAAUAUUGCACAAUGGGCGCAAGCCUGAUGCAGCGACGCCGCGUGGGGGAUGACGGCCUUCGGGUUGUAAACCUCUUUCACCAUCGACGAAGGUCCGGGUUUUCUCGGAUUGACGGUAGGUGGAGAAGAAGCACCGGCCAACUACGUGCCAGCAGCCGCGGUAAUAC